AUUGAACGCUGGCGGCAUGCCUUACACAUGCAAGUCGAACGGCAGCGGACCUUCGGGUGCCGGCGAGCGGCGAACGGGUGAGUAAAGUAUCGGAACGUACCUUUCAGUGGGGGAUAACGUAGCGAAAGUUACGCUAAUACCGCAUAUUCUGUGAGCAGGAAAGCAGGGGACCUUCGGGCCUUGCGCUGAUAGAGCGGCCGAUAUCAGAUUAGCUAGUUGGUGGGGUAAAAGCUCACCAAGGCGACGAUCUGUAGCGGGUCUGAGAGGAUGAUCCGCCACACUGGAACUGAGACACGGUCCAGACUCCUACGGGAGGCAGCAGUGGGGAAUUUUGGACAAUGGGGGCAACCCUGAUCCAGCCAUGCCGCGUGAGUGAAGAAGGCCUUCGGGUUGUAAAGCUCUUUCGGCCGGGAAGAAAUCGCAUAGGCUAAUACCCUGUGUGGAUGACGGUACCGGAAUAAGAAGCACCGGCUAACUACGUGCCAGCAGCCGCAGUAA
rnacentral:rRNA from 1 species